rnacentral:rRNA from 1 species
AGUGAACGCUGGCGGUAGGCCUAACACAUGCAAGUCGAACGGCAGCACAGUAAGAGCUUGCUCUUACGGGUGGCGAGUGGCGGACGGGUGAGGAAUACAUCGGAAUCUACCUUUUCGUGGGGGAUAACGUAGGGAAACUUACGCUAAUACCGCAUACGACCUACAGGUGAAAGCAGGGGAUCUUCGGACCUUGCGCGAUUGAAUGAGCCGAUGUCGGAUUAGCUAGUUGGCGGGGUAAAGGCCCACCAAGGCGACGAUCCGUAGCUGGUCUGAGAGGAUGAUCAGCCACACUGGAACUGAGACACGGUCCAGACUCCUACGGGAGGCAGCAGUGGGGAAUAUUGGACAAUGGGCGCAAGCCUGAUCCAGCCAUACCGCGUGGGUGAAGAAGGCCUUCGGGUUGUAAAGCCCUUUUGUUGGGAAAGAAAAGCAGCAGGUUAAUACCCCGCUGUUCUGACGGUACCCAAAGAAUAAGCACCGGCUAACUUCGUG